ACACGUAGGGCGCAAGCGUUGUCCGGAUUUAUUGGGCGUAAAGAGCUCGUAGGCGGUUUCGUAAGUCGGGUGUGAAAACUCAGGGCUCAACUCUGAGACGCCACUCGAUACUGCGAUGACUAGAGUCCGGUAGAGGAGCAUGGAAUUCCUGGUGUAGCGGUGAAAUGCGCAGAUAUCAGGAGGAACACCAGUAGCGAAGGCGGUGCUCUGGGCCGGUACUGACGCUGAGGAGCGAAAGCGUGGGGAGCAAACAGGAUUAGAUACCCCAGUAGUCC
rnacentral:rRNA from 1 species